rnacentral:rRNA from 1 species
GACGAACGCUGGCGGCGUGCUUAACACAUGCAAGUCGAACGGGGCUGCUAUGAUGGAGUUUUCGGACAACUGAUUAGUAUGCCUAGUGGCGGACGGGUGAGUAACGCGUGAGUAACCUGCCUUUCAGAGGGGGACAACAGCUGGAAACGGCUGCUAAUACCGCAUAAUAUAUACAGGUCGCAUGAUUUGUAUAUCAAAGAUUUAUCGCUGAAAGAUGGACUCGCGUCUGAUUAGCUAGUUGGCGGGGUAACGGCCCGACCAAGGCGACGAUCAGUAGCCGGACUGAGAGGUUGAACGGCCACAUUGGGACUGAGACACGGCCCAG